GAGGUGCUUCGGCGGUGAAAGGAUCUGAUCAUCCGCAUGGGACGAGUUGAUUCCGGGAUCGAAUUAUAAUGUUGCUCCAAGUUGUAGUUUGAGCCACUCACACGCACAGAAGUAACCCUUAGUGAUUUGGUAGUUCUUGGUUGGUGGGACUUGGUUUCAAAUUACAGAAUCGAACGACUCUCCUUACAGCAUUGCAGAGCGCUUUGCCUUUCUAGUCUGCACAAAGUGGUAUAAUCAAGUAAUUCAUAAGCAUUCUUGAUUUCUUUUAAUGGAGGACCAAGUUCAUCAUGAAGAAGAGCAUCAGAUCAAUGGAAUAUGCAGCCCUCAGGACAUCGGUGGACACUUAUGAAAGCUCCUGUUAUUGGUUUCCAGAUCUUGCUUUUCAUGCGCUUGGAGGGAACAUCACCUGGUGCUGAACAUAUUCCAUGUCUAAUCCUUUGCUCCACCUUUUUUGAUCCAAGGAGCUGGGGUUUUGCUGUAUAUAGAUUGGUGGAGAAAACUAAACAGUGGAGCUUGUUCUGGUAGAUACUUUGCCGUCACAUCAAAUGCUCAAGAUUAUUUUGGAUUUUUGCACAAUGGAUCCAGGUAAGGUUUUUCUUGGUGCACAUAAAAUUUGAAUGGCCCGGUGAACCAGUAAUUGCCAGCACUGAAUUGCUGGAUUUAUGAAGCAGUAAUCAUUGCUUAUGACAGGUUACUCGGGUGAUGGUCAAUCGAUGAAGGUAGUGGGAAGGAGUGGGCUAGAAUUUAUUGUGCUGGAGGUUCAGGGUAUGUUUUCUAUGCUACUCUAGUGUCUUUUUAAUAGAAUUUUUUACAUUCAUUGGCGCAACCAGAGAGGCAUAAUAAUUUCUCUGAAGUUUCCAAGGACAUCUAUGUCCAUUAUUGCCUGUCCUUCCUUUUACCUUAUAGGUCUUGAGAUGAAAUCAUUGAAACCCCAUUUAAUAUAUUCAGAGUGGCAUCAUAAACGGGACACACUUUGUAUAACAUGAACAAACUGGACAUGCACACACAUAUCUCGAGAUAAUGGAGGAUAUGGUCGUGAAAUAUGCAAAAAGAAUGAGGAGAAAUUGCAUUAGCAAUUGUUUUAUGAACAGCACAGUCACGAGGAGUACAGAAGAUAUCUGUUGCAUACAUUCUCUUGUUGCUGGCUAGUUAAAUGUCGAGAGCACUUACAGUGUUUUAACUUUUAAGGGUUUGCUAGGCAGUUAAAUUCUAACUCCUACUCUCACGGGUCUUUUCCUCUUCCGGCCUUUCAAGGUUUCAAAAUGUGCAUUGGUAUGUCAAAGGAUAUGUUGGUCCAACCAAUCGACUUUUGGUAUCAGUGCUCUGUAUUAUGCUAUGGUAAUGAAUGCUUUCAUCUGUGGCGCAAUAGGAUUGGAAGGUCCCAUUCCAUCAUCUGGUGUUACGGGGCCAUGAUCCUGGAAUCACACCAUUACACUCGAAAAUAUUCAAAUCUUUUAAGGGUUUUUUCUUACUAAAGAUUGCUACAAUCUCUUCUUUUGUGCAUUAUUAUGCUAGAUUACUAAAAUGCUGAUCACAUACUAAGAUAACACACACCGCAUUUUUCAUUCAUACGAGGUAUUUAUUCGAUUAAAGGUUUGUUGUUGCCAUUUGUAGUAAAACCAUUUAAAAUCUGUAUGUAGAAGACAAUUUGCUAAAAUCUGUCAACGUGUGGUUGCGGAGCUUGGUGGUGAAUAAUGUGUAUGGUGGGGGGUGGGUGGCUGGGAGGGUUGUCCCUUCCCAUACCAAACCACCACCGCAGGUAUAGUCGUCCCACAACUACCCAAGCCCUGUCAAUCAUUCUUUGUGACCAUUAUGUGACACCUUCAAAAUUACACUUGCAACUGUGACUAAAACCAUGAGUGCAUUUUCCAUGCAGGCAAAUUCUGCACUGCCCUUUGCCAAAGUUUUGAAGGCACCGCCUUUAUACUAGUUCAGAUUCAACCAGAUGUCAACUGACAUUCGGUCACAAGCACUGUUUGACCAUGGAAAAUUGGCUUGGCCUAAUGUCAGCCAUGAGCUGCCAGCGUUCAGGUCACCCCUAACUAAAUGCUGGUCACUCUUGACUGACAUCCAUAUAAAGGCCGGUGCCUUUUCUCACUAGAGAAGCUAUCUUGCCUUGCAAUUUCUUAAUAUAAUUUGUGCUUCCAGUAGAUAAUUAAUAUAGUGCACUGUACAUACUGUGCAUACUUUCUUUGUAGAUCACAGAAGUUAUUGCAAGUUAUAACUUUUAUAACCAUUCCUUCUAUCUUUAUUACUCAGCUACAACACCUUCCCAGCAGAAAUUGUGAAGAAGCAGCCCAAAUCUGAACUUGUUCAUGAGGUUCAAACAGUUUUGCCUGUUCAACAAGGCCCAAGUUUUAGAUUGUUUGUAUCUAUCCACACUCUGCAACUUAAUUCUGCUCUUUCUUCAUAAAAAAUACAACUUUAACUCCUCAUUUCUUUUUUAUCAUCAUAUUCGGAGAUUACAAGCUUUACUCAUUGAGCAAACAGAAAUUAUAGAAUUUAGCCAGAAGUAUAAAAGGCUUCAAUUAGUUUUCAGAACAGCCUAGUUGUCUUCUAUGCUCACACUAAUCUUUGUGAUGCCAUUCAUGCUCUCAAUGCUGUAUUAUGGCUUUCCCUGUGCUGAUUUAAUGAAUCUAUCAGGACAAAAUUCUAUGUAGAAUUUGUUUCAAAGGACAAAUUAAUGUGGUCCUGCUUCCAUGCAGGCACCGUGCCCUUUUCAGGUAUGGGGAUCCACCUUUCUCUUACCAAUAUUUGCUGAUACUUCAAACAGUACACUUCUCUGAAUGAAAAAUAAAAGAACUAAGUUUAUUGAUGAGAAAGCUUUUCAUUGAGGGUGAAGCUUUGCCUUCAAAAUUGUUAUUCAUGCCUUGCACAGAAGAGUAAAAGUUGCCCAAUCUACCUCGUCACCAAUGAGGUGCAGUUGUCUGUAUAUGAUGUGUAGUUCCAAUUGUAUCCAUGACAUGUGUAUAUGUGAAGGAAAGAUCCCUUGCUGCUUGUGGUUUUAGAUGGAGCACGCACUGAGAAUCUACAAUUUUGGCGUCUUCGAUUCCCAUGUCACAGUAGUUUUGUAUCAUUUUCCAGGAACUGUAAAUAUUCUGACAGAUUUGAUGAGCUAUGAAAGCACAUUUUUUAUA